AAAACCCCUAUGAGCAUGGCUGGACUAGGAGAAAAACAGAAUUUUGAGAAGAGGAAAGUGAAAAGUUUCUAUUGGAGCUAUACUUUUGCAUAGCUCAUCUCAAAGCAGAAUCUCCUAAAUAGGUAACAUUCACCAAACUAUUUAAGUGAAAAAUACAAGUCCCUAAAUUUCUGCUUUAUUGAAAAUUUAGACCAGGGGACCCCAACCCACAGGCCACAGACCGAUCCCGUCAGAUCAGCUGCAGCAUUAGAUUCUCAUAGGAGUGCGAACCCUAUUGUGAACUGCGCAUGCGAGGGAUCUAGAUGGCGCGCUCCUUGUGAGACUCUAACUAAUAAUGCCUGAUGAUCUGAAGUGCAACGGAUUCAACCUCCACCCUCCUCUUUCUGUAGAAAAAUUGUCUUCCCCAAAACUGGUCCCUGGUGUCAAGAAGGUGGGAGACCGCUGUCCUAGAGGACACAGCUCUUCUUUAAAGUCUCCAUUUCUGUCUCUGAUCACUGGGUUUAUCACAGGAAAAACACCACCCUGA
rnacentral:lncRNA from 1 species